ensembl:lncRNA LINC02018 long intergenic non-protein coding RNA 2018
AGGAUGAGCGUUAGGAGGGCGAGGCCUGGGGUAGGGCCAGGAUAAGCGUCGUUGGGGCAGGUCCUGGGUAGAGUCCAGGUUGGCGGGUCCUGGGGCGGAGUCAGGAUAGGGCGAUCCUGGAAGCUGGGCUUCAGAAGCGUCCAGCGCCACCCGUCUGGGGCCCGAAAGGAGGGAGCUUUCCCUCUGUCCUCCAGCCUUUGGACUGUCUCCAAACAAGCCAUUCGUUCACCAAAUACUUAUUAAGCACCUACCAUGUGCCUGACAAGGGAGAUGUAACGCUGGGGAAACUGAGUUACAGAGCUUUUCUGCACUGAGUCAUCAGGAGCAAAUGCUAGAUCAGAUAGGGUCUCUCUCUCUGCCACCCAGGCCAGAGUGCAGUUGACGCAGGGCAGGGGAGCCCCGAAGUGGAGCAUAGUGUGUCCGGAACUGGUGGGUUCUUGGUCUCACUGACUUCAAGAAUGAAGCCGUGGACCCUCACGGUUCAAGCGAUUCUCCUGCCUCAGCCUCCAGAGUAGCUGGAACUACAGAUGCGCACCACCACGCCCAGGCUGUGCUUCUCAGUGGCUCCCACCAGAUACCUGAUGGUCCUGUCGAUUUGCUGAAUCAUCAACUUCCUAUUCUCUGCCUCUGGCCUGAAUCGAUGUCCCACGUUAUCUGGCUCUCUGUAACACAGAGUCACAAAGUCAAAGUCUUCCUUGGUGAACCAGUUCAUGACAGUAUCGAUGUUCGCACUCCGCUCUGUCUCGUUGCUGUUUGGAGAUGAGGUCUCGCUAAUUUGCCCAGGCUGGUCCUGAACUCCUGGGUUCAACUAAUUCUCCUGCCUCAGCCUCUCAAAGUGCUGGGAUUACAGGCAUGAGACACCACGCCAGGCUGGUGCCAUGAUCUGUCACCCAGGCUGGAGUGCAAUGGUGUGAUCUCAUCUCGCUGCAACCUCUGCCUUCUGGAUUAAAGCAAUUCUCCUGCCUCAGCCUCCCGGGUAUCUGGGAUUACAGUUGCACGCCACCACACCUGGCUAAUUUUUUGUAUUUUUAAUAGAGACAGGGUUUCACCAUGUUGGCCAGGCUUGUCUUGAACUCCUGACGUCGUGAUCUGCCUGCUUUGGCCUCCCAAAGUCCUGGGAUUACAGGCAUGAGCCACCGUACCCAGCCACUCUUGAUUAACUUAAUGGAAAUAUUUACAGAGAUUCUUUCUCUUCUGGGUUCUAGCGUCUUAUCUGUAACCUCUGCAGGUAAUACAUUUUCCUUCCUGAUAAAA